CACGUAGGGCGCAAGCGUUUGUCCGGAAUUAUUGGGCGUAAAGAGCUCGUAGGCGGUCUGUUGCGUCCGCUGUGAAAUCCCCCGGGCUUAACCUGGGAACUGCGCUUGUAACUGGCAAGCUAGAGUGUGGCAGAGGGGGGUGGAAUUCCACGUGUAGCAGUGAAAUGCGUAGAGAUGUGGAGGAACACCGAUGGCGAAGGCAGCCCCCUGGGCUAACACUGACGCUCAUGCACGAAGCGUGGGAGCAAACAGG
rnacentral:rRNA from 1 species